AGAUUGAACGCUGGCGGCAUGCCUAACACAUGCAAGUCGAACGGGAGUAGCAAUACUCUAGUGGCGGACGGGUGAGGAAUACGUAGGAAUUUGCCCUUAAGUGGGGGAUAACCCGGGGAAACCCGGAUUAAUACCGCAUGACCUCGAAAGAGCAAAGUGGGGGAUCGCAAGACCUCACGCUUUUGGAGAAGCCUACGUCGGAUUAGCUAGUUGGUGAGGUAAUGGCUCACCAAGGCGACGAUCCGUAACUGGUCUGAGAGGAUGAUCAGUCACACCGGAACUGAGACACGGUCCGG
rnacentral:rRNA from 1 species